UCUUCGGUGGCAAAGAUAGCACCCUUCCUGAUAAACGCCAAGUUCAGCACCUCCAAGUAACUGCACGAGCAUAUGCAUUUGCCCUUAAAAAUUAGCAGAGGAUGCCACGGAGGCACAAUUUACCAACUGGGUGCAACAGACACCGGGCUGGCUCCUGAACUUCUCUCCUCCAAUUAAGCUACACAACCUGUUACCAUUUUGCCAAUGGACUCUAUUUACUUAGGUUCUGCUUAACUUGCCAAGUGCUCACUCUGUGGAAUUCCCAGCAAAGAGAAAGGAACAAUUGGGGGAAAUUUUUGUUAACAUCCUUUCUUUUAACUUUCCCUAGCAGAGGGGAAUGCAUCAAUGUGGAGCAGAUGUGCUGAGACCAAAUGCUCUCUUCCUCAUGAUUACAGUUGGUUAUACCUGUGGAUA